rnacentral:rRNA from 1 species
UACGGGGGGGCAAGCGUUGUUCGGAAUUACUGGGCGUAAAGGGCUCGUAGGCGGCCAACUAAGUCGGAUGUGAAAUCCCCAGGCUUAACCUGGGAACUGCAUCCGAUACUGGAUGGCUUGAAUCCGGGAGAGGGAUGCAGAAUUCCAGGUGUAGCGGUGAAAUGCGUAGAUAUCUGGAGGAAUACCGGUGGCGAAGGCGGCAUCCUGGACCGGCAUUGACGCUGAGGAGCGAAAGCUAGGGGAGCAAACGGGG